CCUGCGGGUGGGUGUGGGGGACCGCGCGGGCUCUUGCUGUUCGCGCGGCCGAUGUCUGAUUAGCUAGUUGGUGAGGUAAAGGAUCACCAGGGCGACCAUCGGUACCUGGUCUGAGAGAACGAUCAGCCACACUGGGACUGAUACAAGGGCCACACUCCUACGAGACGUAGUAGAGGGGAAUUUAGAAAAACGUCCGAAAGGCUGAACCAGCUGAGCCACGAGCGUGACGAAAGCCUUCAGGUUGUAUAGCACUUUUGACUGUAGAGAAAUGGAUCAGGAAAAAACCUGCGGACAAUGACGGAACUGGAAGAAUAAUGACCGGAUAACUACGUGCCACUACCCGCGGUAAUACGUAGGGAUCAAGCGGUGGUCAGAAUUACUGGGCGUAAAGGGUGCGCAAGCGGGUGUGCAAGACCGAUGAGAAAUCACCGAGAUUACCUUGGGAAUUGCAUUGAUGACUGUUCGGCUAUAGAGGAUUAGAGGGGGGAAGAAUUCAACGUGUAUCCAUGAAAUGCGUAGAGAUGUGGAGAAAUACCGAUGAACAACGCAGCCCCAUGGGAUAAUACUG
rnacentral:rRNA from 1 species